rnacentral:rRNA from 1 species
AAAGCCCACGGCUCAACCGUGGAGGGUCAUUGGAAACUGGAAAACUUGAGUGCAGAAGAGGAAAGUGGAAUUCCAUGUGUAGCGGUGAAAUGCGCAGAGAUAUGGAGGAACACCAGUGGCGAAGGCGACUUUCUGGUCUGUAACUGACGCUGAUGUGCGAAAGCGUGGGGAUCAAACAGGAUUAGAUACCCUGGUAGUCCACGCCGUAAACGAUGAGUGCUAAGUGUUAGGGGGUUUCCGCCCCUUAGUGCUGCAGCUAACGCAUUAAGCACUCCGCCUGGGGAGUACGACCGCAAGGUUGAAACUCAGAGGAAUUGACGGGGACCCGCACAAGCGGUGGAGCAUGUGGUUUAAUUCGAAGCAACGCGAAGAACCUUACCAAAUCUUGACAUCCUCUGACCCCUCUAGAGAUAGAGUUUUCCCCUUCGGGGGACAGAGUGACAGGUGGUGCAUGGU